CUGGGAACUUUUAUUAGCCAGUUAUACGGAACAUGCCAGUGAUACAAAUCAUUUGGAGGAGGAGGUGGUAAUGAGUCUCUUAUGCUUGUCCAAACUUUGUUUUCAGGCAGUAUGGAGCCUGGAAGUGGGUCCUUGAGCACUGUGGCCUGCUCCCAUGUGCUAUCAGCUGGAUGCAAGUCUGAGCUGGAAUCUGGGAUCUACUUGCUCACAGAGAUGCUGCAAAUCAUUACUGUCAAGAGCUUCUUGUGCCAGAGCAUAGUGGCACCCCGGUCUUAUUAUGAUGAUUCCUAUUUAAAAAUAUGUUUCACUUGCAGGCAUAGGCUGGUGGAAACAAGUUUCAUCUGUCACAUGGAAUAAAUUGAAAAGCCUGGGCUCACCUUUUCUUGACUCUCCAUCUGAAUAUGCUGUUACCACAGUAAUGAGGAAGCGGUCCAAUUAAGUAUAGGUGGGGGCUGUUUCUGUCUGAGCAUACAGUAUUGAGCAUGUACAUGGUUGUGGGGUGGUAGGAGCUUGUAGCAUCAGUGUGAGAGUGGUGGUGCAGCCGUGCUGCUGGGAGGAAUAGCUGGUACCGGUAUCCUGGGACUGGUUGCGGCCAGUUCAUGUGGAGGGCUAGGGCUAGGUGUGGAUGUACAAAAGAAUACUUGUAGCAGAUCAUUUGAUGGAAUAUUGUCUCAGCCUAAGAGUCUAGAUCUGUGUAUUUCUAACUACUCUGAUUUGAAGGGUUAGAAGGGUUGACAAGUCGUGAGUUUGGGUUUAUUAAGACUGCUAAUUAACUUGACCCAGGUAGCUGUUUAGUGUUCUUGUGCUGGUUUCUUAUGUUUUCAUAUUAUGUUUCCCCCGUUUUCUAGAAACUUUUGUUACUUCAGAACAUACUUUAGAGAAACGUGCUGGGUUUGGGGAUUCUGAUCUCUAUAUUUAUAUUCUGAUUUCUAUAUUUAACUCUGCAAAUG